CAGCGGGUGGAUGAAAAGCCCUCUUGGGAGCACCGAUGUGCCUUUCUCUGGGGCUGGCCUUCUGCCUGGACUCUGUCCUCAUGGUGUCACCAGUUCUCCCACAAAGAAAAGGGACAGGCAGUGAGGUUGGCAGCAUGCAGCAUCCCACCCUAUGGCACGGCACAGCGAGGACAGCCAGACCCCAGGAAAACCUCUGCUUGUGCUCUCAGGACAGGCUGCAAGUGUGGGGAGAGCCCGGAACGAAGGCCACGGGGCUGCUAUCCACUCCUGUCCCUCCAGCGCGUGCUGUUAGACCAGCACCCAAAAUAGCAGCAGAAAUGCUAACACUC